GACGAACGCUGGCGGCGUGCCUAAUACAUGCAAGUCGAACGCUUCUUUCCUCCCGAGUGCUUGCACUCAAUUGGAAAGAGGAGUGGCGGACGGGUGAGUAACACGUGGGUAACCUACCCAUCAGAGGGGGAUGACACUUGGAAACAGGUGCUAAUACCGCAUAACAGUUUAUGCCGCAUGGCACAAGAGUGAAAGGCGCUUUCGGGUGUCGCUGAUGGAUGGACCCGCGGUGCAUUAGCUAGUUGGUGAGGUAACGGCUCACCAAGGCCACGAUGCAUAGCCGACCUGAGAGGGUGAUCGGCCACACUGGGACUGAGACACGGCCCAGACUCCUACGGGAGGCAGCAGUAGGGAAUCUUCGGCAAUGGACGAAAGUCUGACCGAGCAACGCCGCGUGAGUGAAGAAGGUUUUCGGAUCGUAAAACUCUGUUGUUAGAGAAGAACAAGGACGUUAGUAACUGAACGUCCCCUGACGGUAUCUAACCAGAAAGCCACGGCUAACUACGUG
rnacentral:rRNA from 1 species